GAAAAAUGAAGACAACUUCAAUGCUUCUUACUACAGUGAAGACUUCAGAUCCAACUCUGAUUUCACUCUAGUU